rnacentral:lncRNA from 1 species
GGGAAAAAAAUUCCUUAGUCAGGAAUGUAUGUGAGAACUUUACAUUACUCCACCCAUACUUAGGCAUACUUUAGGGGAAGAUAAAGUUGUAAACUCCUGUUGAAACAAUGAGAAAAAGUCCCCAACCCAUACUUAUAGUGAGGCCAAGCCCUUAAGCUAGGUCUAUUUUUAGAUCUAAUACAAAAGGGUGCUAAGUACCUAUGAAGGUUAAAUUAAUCACUAAAAGGUCAAGCAACUUACAAAGGGCAAACAUAGCAAAGAGGUGUGAAGUACUCAGAAGAUAUAAUCUACCCAGAGAAGGUGAGAACUAGAGUGGUGAAAACAAAGAAUGGGCAAUCCUAGGAAAAGCGUCUACUGUGAUUGGUAGAUGUGAAAACUUAGGGGAGGUGACACAAGAGAAAAUUUUCUUUAAAAAGAAGGAGCUUGAGGGCUCUGAAGGGAGUUCAGCUCUGAAAGCUGGAUUGGAUGGUCUCUCUCAACACUGGAGUUUUGCUUGGAACAAUCUUGUGAAUGCCAUAGGAAAUGUGGAGGACCACUUAAAAUACCAUGAUCAUUGGGCCACUAGAAAAAUCAAGCAGAGCUAUUUGGUAAGAGGGGGAGUUAAAGUUUGUCUUACUAAUUUUUUUUGUCUUGCUAAUUUUUCAAGUGAAUCUUUUAAAUCUGUAGUUAUCUGCCAAGAUUUCAUGGUUCCCAUGUCAUAUUGAAGGAUACCACAGUCACCUGAAAGGGUUUAUCAUAAC